UGGGGAAUUGUUCGCAAUGGGCGCAAGCCUGACGACGCAACGCCGCGUGAAGGAUGAAGUAUUUCGGUAUGUAAACUUCGAAAGAAUAGGAAGAAUAAAUGACGGUACUAUUUAUAAGGUCCGGCUAACUACGUGCCAGCAGCCGCGGUAAUACGUAGGGACCAAGCGUUGUUCGGAUUUACUGGGCGUAAAAGGCGCGUAGGCGGCAAUUCAAGUCAUCUGUGAAAUCUCCGGGCUUAACUCGGAACGGUCAGAUGAUACUGCUUUGCUAGAGUGCAGAAGGGGCAAUCGGAAUUCUUGGUGUAGCGGUGAAAUGCGUAGAUAUCAAGAGGAACACCUGAGGUGAAGACGGGUUGCUGGGCUGACACUGACGCUGAGGCGCGAAAGCCAGGGGAGCAAACGGGAUUAGAUACCCAAGUAGUCCCUGAGCGGGCUGGCAAGGCGCAU
rnacentral:rRNA from 1 species